ACCCUCCAGCAUUUCUGCUUCCAGGUAAAACCUGCACGUGUGAGGAAUGUGUGGCAUUGUAAUGUCAGUCCUCCCUUCAGUUGCUGUCACUUGAAAGAAAAUGUGUUUGUUUAACAAACAUAAAUUGAGUGCCUACUGUGUACCCACACUUCUAGAUCCUGCUGUUGCUGCAGCCACAGCUGUGAUUAGGGCAAGUCUCAGCUCCCCUGGAGUGAGUGCUCCUGUGGGCCAUCAGGUGACAUGGGGACAGAUGCCACAGGGGAGUGUAGAGGAGGGGCCAGGGAGCGCUGUGGGAGCGAGGCUCUCUGAGAAGGCGAUGCGUGAGCCAAGGCCCAGGGUUGGGGUGGGGUGGCACCUGGGUGAGUGGAUCAGGUAGGGAGGCAGCUGGGCUGGCAUGGGAAUGAGGCAGGAGGCCCAGCCAUGGGGAACUGGAGGUCCUGCCUUUUUGAGACGGAAGCCACUGAACAGGUGAGGACUGAAGUUUAGAGUUUGGAUGGUUUACUGCCUUUGAUUGGCACACAGCCGCCAGUGUGUGUGCGUUGUGUGUGUGCAAUGGUGAGGCCACUGUGCACCCGGUGGCUGGCUUCUCAUGAGUUUAACACACACUCACCACACCAGUCAGCCCUCACGUCUUUACCCUGGAUCCUUUUCGAGAAAGGAUCUGGAAAGUAAACAUUUUAGACUUUGAGGGCCACAGUCACUGUCCAUGUUCCUCUCUGUGGUUGUCCUGCCAGACACACACCAUGAGUUUACAAAGACAGGCGGUGGAUGGAUGUGGCCUGGGGCCUGUUUGCCAAUGCCAGCCCCAGAAAAUAAAACUUAUGUUUGCAUAAAUACCUAUACACAGAUAUUUCUACCCAGGCAUAAUCACCAAGUGCUGGAAGCAACACAAGCGUCCUUCAAUGGUGAACGGAUGGCAGGGCCCCCAGAAGACCACAGGAAAGUCGUGUAGAGAAGACGUUCAGAUGGGGCGUCAGAUGUGGGGGAGAACGAGCUGGAGAUGGACACGGACAUGGAGGUGUGGAUGGCCCUGGGGAGGCCCCCUGGCAGCUGGUGGAUGGCAGGAGCGGCGUGGACAGCAGGAGCAGCAUGAACUGCAGGAGCGGCACGGGAUAAGAGAGAUCCGGCAGGCACCGGGAGCCGGCUGGCAGGUACCUCUGAGCACACUGGAUUAAUUCCCAGGGCGGCCGUCACAGCAGUGACGUUGGCACUGACCACCCACGGAAAGGACAGAAUUUAAAGAGGCUGAGUUUUUCAUCUCUCUCUGCUGUUUUCUCUCUGGUUUCCCUUUUACCAUUUUGACAAGUCCCACCAUACUCAGUUCCAGCCUGGGACACACACUUGUGAUUGCUAACGGGUGGAAAGUUGCACGUGCCAUGUUGUGUUGCUGACACCAAAGGCAAAAGCCCAGGUCCUGGCCCCAGGUUAGGCCCACACAUGCCUGGGCUGUCCCAUCUCGGGGACUCCCUGGUCAGAGCUGAAAGUCUUCGGGCUCUGUCUCCCUCGCUGGGGAGUGUGUCCAGCCCUGUCCUCUAGCACUGGGCCCCUGUCUCCCCAGACACGGCCCCCAGGGCGGAGGGGACCACAGACAUUCUGAGGUGAACUCUCCUCCGUGUUGGAAAUAUGAAAAAUAAAAAGGGAAGGGCUGGGGGAAGAGACGGGGCAUUGUUUACUUCCUCAAAAUUCCAUGUUAACGAGUUCCCGCUGAAUUCUCUGGUUAAGCAGAGAACGGCUGUGCAGAGCGUGAGCUGUGAGCCCCAAGCUGGUCCUCCUGUGGGCCCCGCAGCGCUGGAGCUGACCUCUCACCAAGGGUCCCUUUGUAACUUCCUGUGACUGAUUCUUUAAUGGCAUCUAAUGAUGAUGCAAGGAAGCUGCCAGCUGGGAGUUUCGGCACCACUGAUUGCCCCCAUAAGGAGCCAGUGGGAUGGACACCAGCUCCUGCCCCUUGCCUGAAACAUCCCUGCAGACCCUCGGCCUGCACCGGUGCCCCACUGAAGGCCCCCACCUACGGUUCUGCCCACACACCAGGGUCUCUCCAGCUCACCACCACCCAGGGUCCUUCCAGCUCUCCUCCCCCAGGGUCCUUCAAGCUCUCUCCCUCCAGGGUCCCUCCAGCUUUCCCUGCUCUAGGUUCCCUCCAGUUCUCCUCCCCCAGGGUCCCUCCCGCUUCCCCACUUAACCUCCCCGGGGUCCCUGCAGCUCGGGCUUCCGCCCCCGGGGUCCCUCCAGCUGGGUUUUCUCUUGCACCCUGGGGCCUGGUGCUCCACCCCUCUCUGUCCACUUCCUGCCUCCAGGCUGUGUCCGAGCUCUGUGCACCUGACACCCACGUCUCCCCUCUUCAUCUGUCUAAAGCCUACCUGUGCUUUCACAGCACGUCUCAAAUAUCAUUUCAAAUGUCAAAUAACAGAAUGAUCUUUUAAAAAUAUAAAUCAGAUCAUGUCAUUUGUGCUUGAAACCUUUAAUGGUUUCUGAUUGCACAGUAAACCCAAGGCCCUUCUCUGGGGUCCAGGUCCCUGCCCACCUCAGUCCUUGUCCCCCUGUCCCCUUCACCACCAAGUUUAUCCCUGCCCUAGGGAUGUGGCACUUGCCAUAGCUUUGCAGGAAUGGCUUUCCCUGGUUCUGCAUGUGGCAAACUCUGUCUUGACACCCACGUCUCAGUUUAAAUAUCACAGAAUCUGCAGGAGAGCUUCUGUGCCCCCGGAUCUGAGGCAGCCCCUUCAGGAGCAGAAUUACAGCCCUAAAGACGUCCGUGCCCCAGUUGCUGGCACCUCUACAGGAGCUGAAUUCUGCCAACGACCCACACAAGCUGGAAACAGACACCCCCAGGGCCUCUAGAAGGAAGGCAGCUGGCAGACUGGGGACCCCUAGAAAUGGUAGGAUAACACACUCGUGCAGUUUCAGCUGCUGAGCAUGUGGUUAUGGCAGCCACAGAAAAUGAAUACAGCCCAUUCGCUCUUUUUUUUUUUUUUUUUUUCCA